UCCUCCUUACAGAGGCAGUUUGUUUCGAGUGCCCGGCUCUGAAAAAUCAGACCGCUGGUAACAAAACAUGAGGGUUGCGCUCGUUGCGGGACUUAACCCAACAUUUCACAACACGAGCUGACGACAGCCAUGCACCACCUGUGCAUCACCCUCGCAGGCGACCGGCUUUCACCGGCUUGCAGAUGCAUGUCAAGCCCUGGUAAGGUUCUUCGCGUUGCAUCGAAUUAAGCCACAUGCUCCACCGCUUGUGCGGGCCCCCGCCAAUUCCUUUGAGUUUCAACCUUGCGGCCGUAGUCCCCAGGCGGCUCACUUAAUGCGUUAGCUGCGGCACGGAGGGGAGAACCCCCCACACCUAGUGAGCAUCGUUUAGGGCCGAGACUAC
rnacentral:misc_RNA from 1 species